AACUCUUAGCGGUGGAUCACUCGCUUGUGCGUCAAUGAAGAAUGCAGCUAGCUGCGAGAAUUAAUGUGAAUUGCAGGACACGUUGAUCAUCGACACGUUGAACACACUUGCGGCCCCGGGUUCCUCCCAGGGCUACGCCUGUCUGAGCGUCA
rnacentral:rRNA from 1 species